AGUGGGGAAUAUUGGACAAUGGGCGAAAGCCUGAUCCAGCCAUGCCGCGUGUGUGAAGAAGGCCCUCGGGUUGUAAAGCACUUUCAGCGAGGAAGAACGCCUAGUGGUUAAUACCCGCUAGGAAAGACAUCACUCGCAGAAGAAGCACCGGCUAACUCCGUGCCAGCAGCCGCGGUAAUACGGAGGGUGCAAGCGUUAAUCGGAAUUACUGGGCGUAAAGCGCGCGUAGGUGGCUUGAUAAGCCGGUUGUGAAAGCCCCGGGCUCAACCUGGGAACGGCAUCCGGAACUGUCAGGCUAGAGUGCAGGAGAGGAAGGUAGAAUUCCCGGUGUAGCGGUGAAAUGCGUAGAGAUCGGGAGGAAUACCAGUGGCGAAGGCGGCCUUCUGGACUGACACUGACACUGAGGUGCGAAAGCGUGGGUAGCAAACAGGAUUAGAUACCCGUG
rnacentral:rRNA from 1 species